UUAUUUAUGAAUUAAAGCAGCUAUAUAUUUUCUUCGUCAUACCUUGGUGUAUUGUGUUAUUUUACUUCUAGCCAGCAUUUUAUACAAUUACUAAAUAUGCCUGUCUGACACAAAAUUGAAGUGAUUACUGGAGUCCUAAAGGAGAGAUGUAGUGAUAAUACACAUCCUGAAUUUUCAACCUGAUGAGCAGACAAAAGACAGCUCCUUCGUGCCCCUAAGCCACUAUGGAAGGACUCUCCUCUGCUGUAUGAUCAGGCAAGCCAUGUCUUCUUAGCAUGAUCAGGACGAUGAUUCUUGACAGAGCUAAAAUUUUCCAAGGAAGAUAUUAAUUUUCAUUAAGAGAAUUCUCCAUUUGGUUGACUUGAAGAAAGGAAAAUUAAGUUCAAGGGUACAAUGGUCACCGUUCAUUCAAACUUGCUUUAUUUGUAUUCAUCUAUAUCUGAAGAAAAAGAAACUAGGAGUUGUAGGAAAGAGGAGAAAAGAUGAGACCACAGUAUGUAAAGGCCUUCAUGCUGUUUUGUCUACCUGCAGUCCACUUGCUGCAAGGGACACAAGUUGCUUUGUGGAAGAACAAGACCUAAUUACACCAAAAACUGCAUAAUACUGAGUCAUCAA
rnacentral:lncRNA from 1 species